rnacentral:lncRNA from 1 species
UAGAGCCCAAAUAUGCCCGGGCCCAAUAAAAUUAACUCUAGCCCAAUAACCCUUACAAAACAUAAGCUAAACCCAGACCCAACUACACCUGAAAUGGCCCAAACACAAAAACUUCAGAAACCCUAAGUAGCCGCCACCCUCAAGCGCCCCAGCAGUCUCCAGCCACCGCAGGUUUCGGCCUCCACGCAUGCCGUUUCUCCGCAAACACCGCUCCUCAAGCACGUACCUGCAACAAGCGAAAGAGAAGAGCAAAAAAAUCGGGCCAACAAACAACCGAGUAGAUUUAUUAGGAUUUAUUUUUCUUUCUCUUUUCUUUCCCAUUUUCGGCUAUAAAAGAGCCGAUUAAGCACUGUAAAUGGGGGAU